GGGUCUGGUUGAAGGGUACCAGGAUUUGCUGUUAAAUCGCUAACUUGUUUUGGUUCCGAAAAGCAUAAGACGGCUCAGGUGGUGAGUUUUUGCUGUGAUCAUGUCGGCAGGUCCUGUUGUUGGAUCACUCAUUCCCGCAAGGUACUACCGUCGGAUAUGUCCAUCCUUUAGCACCGACGGAGUGCGACUACUCCUUCAACGCGCAAGAGCGUCUGAUAUCUCGUGACGAGCACGGGUGGAAUUCAGCCCCCCGUCCGUCCUAAAGAGCUUUGGCCACAUUCUUCAAAAUUGAUGUUUCGGGAGUAGCAAUUCACCCCCGUGUGCACUGGUAAGUAAAAAGCGUAACAAGGUUCCGUAGGUGAACCUGCGGAAGGAUCAUUK
rnacentral:rRNA from 1 species